rnacentral:misc_RNA from 1 species
AACUUUCAGCAACGGAUCUCUUGGUUCUGGCAUCGAUGAAGAACGCAGCGAAAUGCGAUAAGUAGUGUGAAUUGCAGAAUUUAGUGAAUCAUCGAAUCUUUGAACGCACAUUGCGCCCUUCGGUAUUCCGUUGGGCAUGCCUGUUCGAGCGUCAUUUAACCCUUCAAGCUCUGCUUGGUGUUGGGUGUUUGUCCCCGCCUCCGUGCGGGGACUCGCCUCAAAUUCAUUGGCAGCCGGUAAGUUGGCUUCGUGCGCAGCACAUUGCGUCGCGACUCCAGUGUGCCUCCUCCCACAAGACCUUUUAUUACUUUGACCUCGGAUCAGGUAGGGAUACCCGCUGAACUUAAGCAUAUCAAUAAGCGGAGGCU